UCUGGUGGGGUCUCGGCUGCUCUCCGCUCCUCCCCGUCCUCGUCUCCCGGGGUCCGGGGGCCCCCGCCCGGGGCUCUUGCCCACGGAGCUGCCAGCACAAUCUUCCAAAAGCACGGGUCUGCUCGCCCUGCUUCCUCUAGAGUCAGACCCUGGAGCCCUUACAACAAAGUGGACGGAUGACACCAAUUGGGAAAACCGCGUGGGAGCCACAUAGGAUGUCCGCGUGCUCCUGAGGCAGCUUGCCACCAGGCAGGCGUAGCCUCACUCCCUCACUCGGUGCCCUCUUCUGACAGCUGCCCUCCCGUGGUUCUCUAGCCUGUGGCGGGGUUCCCUCGCUUGUCGCGGUGUCCGCGCAGCACUCAGAUGGGGGUUACCAGAGAAGCUAAAGGUUACAGCCAGGUAAGAAAGGGUCUGGACACAGUUGCUCAGUCAGGCAGUGUCUUCCUGCUGUGCUGGCAGACAGGCCUCUCUGCUCAACUCCUCGGCCUGACCUCUGUCCUGCACAGGGAGUGUUACGAAGUUCUUCCAGGACCGCCACUAAAUGCCCAAAGGGCAUGUCACACCACCGUUAGCCCCAACUGUUACUCCACGUGUCAGUAAACCCAGCUCCCCCAGUUAAGUGCCUAGAGGUGCCCCACUCCACAAGCCCACUUGCUUUCUCAAAAGCACUCAGCCUGACUUGCUCUGUGGGCUGGGGAGUCCUCUGCUCUGUCAUGCGCUGGCUGCUGUGCUAGCAUUAGAAGGAUCUCUUGUAUGACCAGGCUUCUUGUGUAGGGGUCUCAGGGUCCAAGUGCCGUGCUCCUCUCCUGGCUCUUCUUUCUUGCUGGUAGUGAGAUCCACACUCCUGGUUCUGAGAUGCCUCCUCUUACACCUAGCAGGAUGGCAGGCAGUCACAGUGUACCAUCAGUACACCACGGGGAGGCCCCCAUCCCCACCCCCCUUCAGACCCAGCAGGAAAGCAAAGGUUUAGUGGGAGUAACAAAACCAUGUUCCCAGAGCCUGAUCACCCAGCAGCAGGUCAGCAUUCAACACAGCCCUUUACACCAGCAGAAAAGUCCCCAACGUGGAACUCUCAGGCCUUGGUGUUCAAUGCAGGGGACUGAAGACCCCGUGACACUCCGUGUGAAAGGUGGCCCCCAUUCAGACAGCCGCAGCCCCUUCCCAUCCUCCUCUCCGCUUACCUCACUGUCUCGGGCUUACCGCUUCUGGUCUCUAGCCAAGUUAGGUCCCCCUGGUGCGGACCCUCACUGCCAUCGCGUGUCUGUGCGUCCUUGCUGCUGCCUGGCUGACGGUCAGUAAAAGCAAGUGUGAGAACCGAUGUGGAGAGGACAGCGCCUGAUCGGCCCUUCCUGAGGCCGAUCGUCUUGGGAAGCAGUGUGAGACUGGCCUCGUCCUCCUCUGCGCCCUCUGCUCAUUCUGACCCGCUCCAUCCCUCCCAAGGCAUGUGCUCAUCUGCUGGGUUACAGGCCAUCCUGUCAAUUGUGCGUUUUACUGGGCAAGUUAACAGGCUGUAAUUCCAGAUGAGAAAUGUUCACGACACCGUGCUUCAUGUCAGCCCCACCUGCGGGCCCGUCUUUGACUUGAGGUUCCUGCCCUGCUCUGGCAGUGGGCAGAGCUCGUAGGGCUGCUGCUAAGUGCCCAGGGAGCACGUCCUUGAGCUUGAAGGCACUUGGUGGGACUCCUGUGAGUCAGCACACUCAACCUCUGUCCCUGCCUCUGUUGGCUCUGCCGCUGCUGCUGCCCCACCUUUCCACCCCUGGAUAUCGGGAUAAGCUUCCGUGCGCCGGGAUCUCAGGGUCCAGAGGGCCUGCUCCAGCCUGGCUCAUCUUUCUCAGUAGGGAGUCCCCCCCUGCAUGCUCCUGAGAUGGUGGUGAUAGGUGCCGUCCUGGAGUGGUUGUGUGGACGAUAGUACAAAGCACCAGCUGGCCCUGCACCAGUCUCAAGGUUGCUCUAUUGUUGGGGCCUCUGUGCCCAGCCACCUGGCCAAGGGCCUUGCCUUUCCCACUGCCCCUGCACUUUGCCAAGCUUGUCCUCCCCCAGGGCUGGCCUCAGGUGGCUGUUCACGGUUAACAACCCCGUGAACCCUGCUAAGAGUAAGAGAACUGAGUCCCCUAACUGCCAUCAUCUUACCUAGCACCG